ACAUCAACAGAUGGCGCAAUGGUAGCGCGCGAGACUUCUAAUCUCGAGGCUGUGGGUUCGAAUCCCACUUGGAGUG
rnacentral:tRNA from 1 species